GACGAACGCUGGCGGCGUGCUUAACACAUGCAAGUCGAACGGAAAGGCCAUGCUUUUGUGGGGUGCUCGAGUGGCGAACGGGUGAGUAACACGUGUGUAACAUGUACCUGACUUUGGGAUAACUUCAGGAAACUGGGGCUAAUAUCGGAUAGGAGCUCCUGCUGCAUGGUGGGGGAUGGAGAGAUUCGGCGGUUGUGGAUGGACUCGCGGCUUAUCAGCUUGAUGGUGGGGUAGUGGCGUACCAAGGCUUUGACGGGUAGCCGGCCUGAGAGGGUGACCGGCCACAUUGGGACUGAGAUACGGCCCAGACUCCUACGGGACGCAGCAGUGGGGAAUAUUGCACAGUGGGCGGACGCCUGUUGCAGCAACGCCGCGUGCGUGAUGACGGCCUUCGGGUUGUAAACCGCUUUCGCCUGUGACGAAGCGUGAGUGACGGUAAUGGGUAAAGAAGCACCGGCUAACUACGUG
rnacentral:rRNA from 1 species